ensembl:lncRNA
AUGCAAACUCAAUGUUUCUUCUCUUUCUCUUUCUCUCUCUCUCUUUUUUUUUUAAUGCAGGAUCUACUGUCCCUGCCAUACAGCCUGGUCGAGGAUCAGGACUACAAGUCUGAAAAUUCAACCCUCCUCCCCGGUGCCAAGAACAGUCUGCAAGACUCCGUAAGUAGAAGCAUUUUGCUGAACAGAUUAGAUUUUGAAACUCCUUUUGCAUCCUUUUCAGCCUCUUUGGUCUCGGUCAUCAAUCACCGGGAAUGGUUUUUACCUGAAACUGAUCUUGCUGGAGAAGUAACUGGAUUUGAGGGGAAUAAAUUUUCCCGAUCAUGUGCACAAUUUCUAUUAGGAAACACCUGGCCCGUAUUCCCAGCCUCUGGUACAUGGCGUGAGAGCUGUAUUCUGUCCUCUAAAAAGACCAUGUCCUCUUGAUGGACAGAUGUGGGCACAGUGGUUGGUGACAAGGCUGCAGGUCAGUCCCUCUGCCCCCUGGUGUGAGGGCCCCAGGUUGUGGGAGCACAUGAAGAGGUCGACUGUCAUUGGGCUGUCUUCCUGGUAAGGACAGGAAUGCUCACUGAGUGCCCUGGGGUCCUGCAUCGUGGCCUUGGGCUUGGAGUCACUGGGGCUCAUAACUUGGGACGAUGGCAGUGAAUUCCUUUGCAUUCCUCAUCUGUCACCCGUGGAUACAGCGGCCAGGAAGCUCCCUGCACAGAUACUUCUGAAAUCGCUCAUGCACAGACUCUCGGCAAUGCAAUCAUGGUGUGGUGCAUUCCUCAAGUGUAACCUGUUUGUGUGUUGUUGGUGACCUUGCGAUGGCACCUUCAAGGGGCACACAGACUGUGUUGUUUGGUGUUCAUCAUUAUGUAUUUCAUUUUAUGAUGAUCUUCUCUUUAUAGCCAUCACUAGUGGCGUUCCGUUAAUGGCAGUGGUAUGAAAUUUCCUUCAAACAUACUUAAGUUAAAAAACAAAAGUGAGUUGACUCAAAGACAAAAAAAAAAUGGUAUGGACAUAACAGAAUGGAAAUCAUAAUGUAGGUAUGGUGAGACGUUGUGAUAGUGGUAAGUGAAAGGCUGAGAGUAAAUUCUUUUAUCAAAAGAUGUUCAUGGCUAGGCACAAUGGAUCACACCUAUAAUCCCAGCACUUUGGGAGGCCAAGGUAAGAGGAUUGCUUGAACUCAGGAGUUGGAGACCAGCCAGCCUGGGCAACAUCUCUACAAAAAAUACACAAAUUAGGCCAGGCACAGCGGCUCACGCCUGUAAUCCCAGCACUUUGGGAGGCCGAGGCGGGCUGAUCAUGAGGUCAGGAGAUCGAGUCCAUCCCGGCUAACACAGUGAAACCCCGUCCCUACUAAAAGUAGAAAAUAAUAAUAAUAAUAGUAAUACCGGGUGUGGUGGCGGGCGCCUGUAGUCCCAGCUACUCAGGAAGCUGAGGCAGGAGAAUGGCGUGAACCUGGGAGGCAGAGCUUGCAAUGAGCUGAGAUCGUGCCACCGCACUCCAGCCUGGAAGACAGUGAGAUUCCGUCUCAAAAAAAAAAAAAAAAAAAAAAAAAAAAAAAAAAAAAAAUUAGCUGAGCGUGGUGGUGUGCGCCUGCAGUCUCGGCCACUCAGGAGGCUGAGGUGGGAGGAUUGCUUGAGCCCAGGAGGUGGAGGCUGCAGUGAGCCAUGAUUGUGCCACUGCACUCCAGCCUGGGCAAACAGAGUGAGACCCUGUCUCAAAAACAAAAAAACAAAAAGUCUGCUUGGCCCUGGGCCUUGUCCAUGAGUGUGCUCUGUAUUUGGAAUGUUCCCUCCUCUUUAUGCCCUAAUCUAUGCUGACCCUUGGUCCAAACUGGAAUCUUUAAGGGCCCACUGCUAGGUGCUUGUCUCUUCCUCCAAAAUGACUUUUCAGGCUGAGUUUUUAUAAUAAACCUCAUUAAUGGAUCAUCUGAAAGUGGUGUUUACCUGCAAUGCCAAGAAGAGGAGGAAGAAGAGGAAAGGGAUGAUGAAAAAUGACAACCACACACCCAACUUUCUUAUCCCACUUCUCAGUUGACCAAAUGUUCGAUCUCUGUUGUUUUAACAUCCUCUCGAUGACUCCAUAAGGUAAGUGCUGUUUCUGUCCUCAUUUUGUGACUUAGAAAACCGAAACUCAAAGUAAUUGCCCGUGGUAACACAGCCUGGACUUACCCUCUGACCCAACCACAUCAUUGGAGGACCAGGAGUCUUGCAGCUUCACAUCAAGUCUGUGAAAUAUUCUUCCUGUUUUGGAUAGAUGGAAAAAUGAUGUGUGAAGCAGGAAAGUAUUGUAUCGGCUGUCUCUUGCACGUGACAAUUACCCUGAACUUAGUGACUUCAAACAGCAGACUUUCAUUAUCUCACAGUUUCGGCAGGUCAGGAAUCUGGGAGUGGUUUGCUUGGUGGUCUGGCUCAGGGUCCCAUGUGAGCUGGGGCUGCUGUCUUCUGAAGGCUGAAGUGGGGCUAGAGGGUCUGCGCCCAAGGUGGUUCACCUAACAGCUAUUGUCAGGAGGCCACAGAGCUGCUUGAGUGUCCUCAGGACAUGGUGGAUGGUGUCUCCCAGGGUGAGAGAUCUGAGAGAUUAAGAGCAAAGUAGAAGCCACAGGGGAUGAUGGCAGUGAAUUCCUGUGCAUCCCUUAGAUGACGUAGCUACAGAUGUCCUGUGCCAUCGCCUCUGCUGUAUUUAAUCAUUCAUACAACAUAAUCCUCAGGAGAUUGUGAGAGCAUACCAUACGAGGGCAUGAGUACCUGGAGGGGGGAUCAUGGGGCUAUCUUGGAGGCUGGCCACCACACUCUUCAUAAUAUUGGAAUAACUAUGUCUUGCAGUUCCACCCAGGAUGCUUGUAAUGUCACACUGAGUCUGUGGAAAGAAAACAAAGAUACUAAACCCAUUUUGCAGAUGGGGAAAUGAGGCGUGGAGCAGGAAAGUGACAUAUUAAAAAGACUUGAUGUUGGUGGUGCAGACGCUUUUGAAGGGAAAGUAGUUGAAAAAGCUAAUUGCUCACACUAGGAUCAAAGGUGUCAGAGAGGGUUCCAUUUCCCCAGUGGUUCGAAUAGUGCCUGUGUCUGCUAGAUUUCCAGCUGUCUUGGGUUGGGUCAGGUAUUUCCUGGCCCCCAACCUAACUCAUGGAGGCUGAUGCGUUCUCUCUAGUGAAAGGGAUGAUGGUGUCCUGCUGGUUUCUCCUCUGGAGGCUAUAGAGUCUUCUAGGUUUGCAGAGAUUCAUGUUGUGAGGAUCCAUUUGCCUUAACUCGCUCCUUCUUAUCCAGCCUCUGACUGUAGAAGGCCUGCUGGGCUGGGUGCUUCUGGCUGGACUCUCACAGGUCAGCCUCCUGUCUUGCCUUGGAAUGGGUCAUGGAUGGAAGCAGUCAUUUUCACAACCUCUACUGGAGGCAGCAUAAGUUAGCCUGACCGUCUCUGGAUGGCAGAUUGCCUCAUAUUCACAUGUGUCAAAAUGCAAAAUGUGUUCCAUCUUUGAUCUAGCAAUUACGCUUCUGGGAAUUUGCACCUUGGAGAUGAUUGUACACGUAUGAGAUGUGUUUGUAUAUUUAUUAAGGGGAUGAUUGUAGUGGCAAAAAUAAUUUUUCAAAAGAUGCACCCUCAAUAUCCCUCAAUAAGGGAUGGUUUAAGUCAAUUGUGUGUAUCCAUAAAGUCCAAUUCCAAGCUGCUGCUAGGAUUUCAUGGUGAGGAUUUAUGUUUAUUGACUUGGAAAGAUGCACAUGACAUAUUGUUGAGUGAGAAAUACAGCCUGUAUUAUAUGAUUCCAAUUAUGUGCAAACUGUAUUCAUAGAUCUCCAUUUCUCUGAGUGCAGAGAGAUGUCAGAAAGGCAGAUGGAAAGUUCAACUAAAUUGCUGGUUUUUGCAUUUUUCUUUAGACUCUUUUAUUUAUUUUUUCUAUAGUGAGCAGUUAUGUUCUUUGACAGUGGUAGUAAUAACAUAAUAUUAGUAAUAAUGUUGUAAUAAUGUAAUAUAGUAAGAAGCAGUAGUAAUAAUAGUAGUAAUAAUGUAGUAAUAAUACUAGUACUAGUAAUAACUAUUUAUGAAAUUAAGCAGUGUGUUCUGGACUGUUUAGAAGGUUUUCCAGGAGAGCUGACGGCAUAUUCAUUCAAGUUUCAUUCUCCCUUGUCAUGGAAAUGCUGUGACGUUCCUCUAGAGGAGUGAAAAUGGGGUUUGCAAGACUAAAUGUGGCCUCUGGACAGACUCUUUGGCCCUUACCUGCUCCACAAUGCAGAAUGCUCCAGGCCAUGGCAUCUCACCGCCCUUCCUAGUCACUGCCCUGUGUCACCAGUCAGCUGUACUUUUUCUUACCUCCACCUCUCUGCUUUGGCACUGUCUCCCAGAAGGGGCUUUCCCUGGAUGCAGAAAGUACAUUUUGCCAGCAUGCAGAAUAAAAUAAUCAUAAUAGGUAGCAUCUUUGGGAACUAGGAAGUACCUGGCAUUGCACCCACCGUUUCACAGGCAUUGUAUCUUUCUCUCCCCAGAGUAGUACAAGGAGGGAAGACCUAUCCAAACCCCUUGAUUACAAGUGGGGAGACUGAGGCUCAGGGCAUGACUUGCACAGUCUCAUAGCUAAUACGGAAGCAGUCUGAAAUUCAGACCCAGAUCGGGCUGUUUCCCAUGCUGCGUUGAGCUGAGGGAAAGGCCAGCAGGUUCUGUUUGGUGAUGCAGGGAGCAUUCCUGGGAACCUGUGUCUUGGGUGCAAAGUUAAUUCCAGAGUCAUCAGGUAACAUAAAAAUCACACUUGGUCAGUUACUUGCACAAGUCCUGUUAGAGACCAAUCUUUCUGCCCCUUGAUACAUCAAAUACAGCCACACUUUCCUGACUAUUAGAAAAAAUGAGGAUCUUUGCUUAGAUGCCAGAUGAAGUGAUUGUGUUGAGCUGGCAUGCUGGAUGAAUGAAACAUACCUGUCUGUAAACACUGGAGUCAUCUGUGACAUCUGUGAUCAUGUGGCCACAUGAUGGAGAGGCACUUGGGAAUGAGACUGAGUGAGAAACUUGCAGGUACAUGUUCCCUUUUGGGUUCACUCUGGAGCAAACGCAUCCUGAACCCAUGGAAGUGAUGCCGUCCAGCGUAAGAACCGUACUAUUAUUUUUUCUCUCUUUCUUGAUAUAGUAGAAAUAUACUCUCCUAUACCCAAGGCAGACAUUACUAAUCGAUAGUGCCAUUCUCACCUCCUGUACCCAAGGCAGACAUUAGUAAUCAACAGUGCCAUUCCCCUGUUCUAUACUC